GACGAACGCUGGCGGCGUGCCUAAUACAUGCAAGUAGAACGCAGGUGCGAACGGGUGAGUAGCGCGUGGGUGACUACCUAUUAGAGGGGUAGAACUAGUGGAAACGAUAGCUAAUACCGCAUACUAGUAGAUGGAUCUGCGGUGUAUUAGCUAGUAGGUAGGGUAAUGGGCUAACUAGGCAACCAUACAUAGCCGACCUGGGAGGGUGGUUGGGCACACUGGGACCGAGACACGGCCCAGACUCCCUCGGGGGGGAGGAGUAGGGAAUCUUCGGCAAUUGGGCGAAACCCGACCGAGCAACGCCGGGGGAGUGAAGAAGGGUUUUGGAGUGGAAAGCUCCUUUGUUAAGGAAGCGGUAUUUACACAGAAAGCGCCGGCUAACUACGUGCCAGCAGCCGCGGUAAUAC
rnacentral:rRNA from 1 species